rnacentral:rRNA from 1 species
CCUACGGGAGGCAGCAGUGAGGAAUAUUGGUCAAUGGACGAGAGUCUGAACCAGCCAAGUAGCGUGAAGGAUGACUGCCCUAUGGGUUGUAAACUUCUUUUAUAUGGGAAUAAAAUGUUCCACGUGUGGGAUUUUGUAUGUACCCUAUGAAUAAGGACUGGCUAACUCCGUGCCAGCAGCCGCGGUAAUACGGAGGAUCCGAGCGUUAUCCGGAUUUAUUGGGUUUAAAGGGAGCGUAGGUGGAUUGUUAAGUCAGUUGUGAAAGUUUGCGGCUCAACCGUAAAAUUGCAGUUGAAACUGGCAGUCUUGAGUACAGUAGAGGUGGGCGGAAUUCGUGGUGUAGCGGUGAAAUGCUUAGAUAUCACGAAGAACUCCGAUUGCGAAGGCAGUUCACUGGACUGCAACUGACACUGAGGCUCGAAAGUGUGGGUAUCAAACAGGAUUAGAUACCCGGGUAGUC